GCAGUCGUGCCCGAGUGGUUAAGGCGAUGGACUUGAAAUCCAUUGGGGUCUCCCCGCGCAGGUUCGAAUCCUGCCGGCUGCG
rnacentral:tRNA from 1 species